GUCCUGCAAAUGGCCUCCGCUGUUGGCUGCUGCGGCGGGUUGAGCUGAGCGGCCCUACGCCUCGCAGGCCCUGCGUGGGGCCUCACACAGCGCCCGCUGAGCCUGGAGGGGCGAGGUGAUAAAAUCUCCUGUUGCAGCAGUCCCAAACUCUGACGGGCAGUGCUCAUAGACAGGCCGCUGCCAGGCAAUGCGGCGCUGGUACUGCACAUGGGAUGAGGCUUCAGGGGAGACCUAACGCUACACGAGCCAGCUGCUGUCCUAGCAUCCUCAUAGGAUGGCUUAGCUUGGAAGGGAUCUGGAAACCCACCAAGUUCUGACCGCCAGCUGUGGGCAGGUUUGCUGCCCGCUGGAUCAUUGCCCAGAGCCCCAUAAAGCCUGGCCUUGAACACAUCCAGGGACGGGGCACCCACUGCUUCUCUGGGCAGCCGUGCCAGGGCCUUACCACCAUCACAGUGAAAAUCUUCCCCUGACAACUAAUAGAACUCUAAUAGUUUAAAACAGUUCCCCCUUUUCCUAUCACUAUCAGACCAUGUAAAAAGUCGGUCUCCCCUGUGCUUAUAAGCUGCCUUUAUAUAAUGGAAGGCCACAGUGAAGUCUUCCCUGUGCCUUCUCCAGGCUGAACAAGCCCAGCUCCCUCAGUCUGUCUUUGUAGGUGCUCCAGCCCUCCCGUUGCCCCUGUGUCCUCCCCUGGACCGCGUCCAUCACUGGAGGACGACUUAGAAGCCUCCAGCUGCAGGCUGGGGCACUGCUGGACCUUGAGCUGGACACAGCCUGUCUGCAGUGCUAGCUCACAGAGCAGCCAUUUUAGUCCUGUAGUCACAGGCAGAGCAGCUGUGCUCUCUCCAGGUUUGGCCUAGAUGAGGAUAAACCAAUACAUAAAGCUUGCCAUGCUUAAGAGCUGCUUUAUCUUAAAACUACACCAAACCGAACUGCAUGUAGUUACUAGUAGAAGCAGCAGCAGCAGGUGAGCUUUCUGUCCUCAGCCUUGCCACCCUGAUUCCAGUUUCACUGCUGUCUUUGUUGUGCUGAGUUAGUCCUCCACCAAUCUGGUGGUGUGAAUCAGUUUGCUGUGAGAACUUCAGCAGGGGAAUUUAGCAUGAGCACAGGGCUACAGGCUGGAAAUCCAGGCUACAGGCAAGAUCUCCCUGACCGUGGCCAGUAAUAUACGUGCUUGUUAGCAGAGCUAACUGAACUGAAGCCACACGCUGCAUAUGGGGCAAGUUUUGAAUGGGCAGCAACAUUCAAGUCACAAGACUUCUGUUUGGAAAUGAGAGCAAGCCUUUAUUUUGUGUCAUGGCAAGACAACACAGGGGAGAGGAGGAAAGGAAGCCUGGGAAUCUCACCCCAGCCUUAUUUAUUUUAUUGAUUAGUGGCUCUUGCGGGUUUAUGCUGAGUCUUUAUUCUUCCCUCUUCCUCUGUUCUUUCCCUCGUCUCUAAAGUUCUCUUUGUCUCGAAACUCUGGACCUUGUUUUGAAUCCCUGCUCUGCCUUGAGCAGGAAUUAUGUUUGUCAGGGCACCCAAAGGAGGCCAUUUAGCUUUGGCAGAUUUCUGGGUGGAGGCUGAAACUGCUGUUGUUUAAGUUUUCAGAGAGAACCCCUAGAUAAAUGAAUCCAGCUCUUUCAGCUGCUGCCAAUUCCUGGCAGAAAGGUUACAUAAACAUACUCUAAACCUCAAGGGUAUUAUAAAUAAAUCUUAUAAAAUAUUAAAUUUUGUUAAUCUCUGAAUGAACCAAAACGGUGCUAAACUGAUUUAAAGCCUUUGUAAGAAAAGAAUUAACCAGGUGUCUUAUAAAAGUCCUGACCUCUUUCUCAGCGCGCUGACAUUUGUUUCUGGCCAUUCUGUACCUUCACCACUCUCAUUAAAUUGCUUUUUUUUCUUUCUUUCUUUAAACAAAAACUUCACAUAUCAUGAAUAGUUAUCAAAAAGCUUCUUCAAGUCUGUAUUGAUUGUAGCACUAGCAGAACUGCUAGUGGCAACAGAGGCUCGCUUAGGUAGAGAUCAUUUGGUUAUUGCUUUAAUAUGGGACUUCUGGGGAAAAAAAAAUGUCAGAAAAUACUGAUCAGUUACAACCAACAACUGUUACAGAUAUCCAGAUAGUACUUGUCAGCAUAUAAAUGAGAAAGAGAGACCCUGAGCUAUCCCAUGAUAGCCAAGCAGAGCCUGACAUAUGAGAGGCCUACUUGUUUUCGGGUGCUCGUGCCUGAAAAGUCAUCAUACAGAAGAGGAAGGGAGAAGAAACCCACCUCAGGAUAUCCAACAGGAUGGAGGCUCAGGUACUGACUGGAAGAUGCACCAGUAUUGCUAACCUGUAACGAUGAGAGAAGAAAUAAGAAUGGGGAUCUGCACUUGUAUGGGCAAAGAUAUAUUCCUGCCCUCUCUCAUUUUCCUCUGCUGAAUAAUCCUGGAUUCAUUCCAGUAUGAGAGUUAAGGAAAAAAUCUUUGUGGAGUAGCCGUAGUAUUUCCUGUCCAGUUGCAUGCCACGGUGAACAGGCACAUGGCACUUAUUUUUACCUGAACUACAAAAAAUACUCAGCCAAAAAUCUUUGUUUAAAGGGAGUACACUAACAAAACAUGACUAACUGCAGUCGUUCCAUUCCUGGCCACGGAAUAAUACAUUCAUGCAUGUGGUAACAAGCAGUGAGCUACUUCAAAACACACUUAUCCCAUUUUAGGUGGUUUAAAUAAUGAAGUCUUUAAUUGCAAAGGUAGGUAGAAAGUUCCAAAAUGACGUUGCAGUGAAGGGGUUUCAUCUUUGUUGCUGCUGCAUAUGUUUAUUUUUUGUGGUUUUGUCUGUAGAUAAAUGUGCUUACAAACUUUCAUUUCUUUCUCAUUACUGUUUUGCACUCCCCAGUUUCAAUCACAGGUGAAAACUGCAAGAGGUGCUACACUAAUGACCGUGGAGAACAAAGGUCUCUAAUUUAUGAAGCAUGAGGACCACUGUGUGCUUCCCUGGCUGUGUGCUGAAGGACUGAACUGACUGUCCUGAGCGAAAGCAAACAGCUCUUUUUUCCAUGUCCACCGACACCUUUGCCAACCGUGGGCACACUCCGCUGCACUCGGCAGGAAUUGCUGCCCACCUGGUGUUCUCAAACCUCCUGCAGCUUUACCUGAGGUUCGGCUUUACUCCCAUAGGUGGAUCUCUCGAUGAACUUUAAAUAUGCCAUCAAGUACAUUUAUGGAUGUUAACUAGCUUUCAGAUAUUUCUGAUUCAUGCUGCAGAGCUGUGAGUGAAGCAGUGGGUAUUCAGGUCAUGCAACUUCUGUUGCACGAUACCUUUCGAUACCUAUCUUUUCUUAGGAUAGUCUCUUAUCUCUUUUUAGCCAGUGGAGCAAAACAGGACUUUUGCAGAGAGUAACUCAGAAUAAGGACAUAGUAUCAGCACACAGAUCAUUCUAAUUAACCUCAGACUCUCUCCUAAUUGCGGGUUACUAAUCCUCUCUGACCAAGAACCUCUCCACUGCUGUACCACGCUCUCCAAGUACACAGGCAGAAGCAGAACUUGGAGCCAAGUUUUCAAGGGCUUAGCACAUAGCUGCUCGGCUUCCACUUUGAUAUCAAAAUGAGAAGUUCAGAACUGAGAAGGCAGUGCUAUUUAUCUAAGGCAUUCCUUUGAAAACCCAGCUCUCUGUGGGGACAAUGCACUCUCUUCAGAAUUUUGGCUCUGGUUUUUCAGGAGCCACCCUGAAAACUCCAUGUUGUCAUGAGAGAUGACUUAUCUGUCUGCCCUUGCGCAGAAGCGCAGGCCUAUGCAAACACAGCUUGCUUCCAUGUUGUUGCCUGGAGUGAUAUCAGAUGCAAAUACAGGGAGUAUUUGAAUGGAAUUCACAAAGUGUAUGCUUUUAAGAUAAAGCAGAGCCAAGUCCUGCUGCUGCUGCUUUGGAUGCAAAUGUAUUUGUAAUGAACUCUGCUUUUGUACGUGUCCCUUAUCUUGCACCUGUUAUCAUCUUUGUUGUAAAAAGCUUACAGGUAAGCUUGCCAAACGAUACGCCCCAUCUGUGCUACCUGGAUAAACACUGUUAGCAAGAAACAUGCAAACUGAAAAGCCACAAGUUCUUGACGGACAGGUACCCGUGCUGUUUCUCUAGCUAGCAAGGACAAGGUCUCUGUGUUCCUUCAACAGAUUGCCAGCCUUUUCUUGUUUGAAAUUCUUGUGAAGUUGUUGGGAGGGAGAUGAGAAAGAGGAAGCUUGGGAGUGUGCAAGCUGGUUUUUGGCAUGCAGAUGAAGUCAGUUGCAAACAAAACAAAGAUUUCAGUGGAAUCUACAAAGUGAAUGCUUUUUAGCCAGCACUAAGAUAGAGCUGUGUUGGAGGCAGAUGUGUUUGUUGUGAAUGCUACUCUUGUUUAGAUCUUGCAACCUGAACAAGCACUUGGAUGGACGGAAGGUGAAUAAUGGAAAACUGCAUCACCAGGCCUUGCUCCUAAGAAGACUGGAAAGAAAUGACCCAGCAGAUAGGGCAUGGUGAAAGUCCUAAGGCUUUACAGUGAAGAAACAACAGUAGGGGAGAACAGUUUGUUCUGGGAGCUUAUCAUGUUCCACUGAGCUCUCUACAUUGCCCUGUGUUGUUUCAUUUCAGGAACUUGUGAGAGGGAGAACUACUGAGUAACUAAUGCACGAGGCUGGUAGCUUGGGUUCUGAAGGCCUACCACUAAGUUCCUGUGGGCAACAUUUUGUACUCUCAGAUGGUCACAUCGGAGAGAAGCUGACACUGGUCCCUGGACCAAGUCAUUUUUAACUGACUUGCAUACUUAGUGCUCGAAUCCCAAGGCCUUUUGGAUGUACAGCACACAUCACUACUGCGUAUUAGCAGGGACGCGGGGAGUUAUGAGACGGAUCCCAACCAAGGAAACAUCCCUGGGCCUGUUGCCACCUUUGCUACCUGAGGCAAAAAGGAUGAGACCAGCAGCACUUGGUGUGCCUGGGUACAGACCGCUCCCUGCUCUGCCAUUCAUUGGCUGCCUCGUGCUCCCUGCGCAGGCAUGCUGCUGCUUGCUGCUUUUGUGUUAGAGCAAGGUAGAGGGUAGAACUUGGCAUCGUGAGCACCCUGUCCUAGACCUCCAGUCAUAAGGGAGUUCACCGAAUGGCUUUAUCCAAAACAAAAGACACUAACAGGGCAUGUGUUCCUGUUGCUGCCUACCACAUGGGGUCUGUAUGUGUAAGAACUAGGAAGGGCACCUCAGGCUGUCACUGAGGGUAACCCAUAACCUGAUUUCUCUGGCAGAGUCCACGGUGAUGGCAACUUGGCACUUGGAUUCCUUGCAGUAGACACUUCUGUUGUUUAAAAAAAAAAUAGUGGCCUGAGGGGAUCCCUCUCCAUUAUGGUCAAGGAACUUUAACCAGGCUUCAAACUCUUGCAGGGCUGAGCGUGCUGCCUGGCAGCUGAGCAAAACAUUGCAGGUUUGCUGGCAGUGAUACAGCAUCCCAAGCACCCUUGCUUCCUCCAAGGCUCUUGUACAGCUUGUACAAGGACUCGGAGAAAACUUUCCAUUCAGAAUGGGCAUUCCUAGGUGCUGCAGGGCCACCUUCUCACUACUGGGCAGUGUGCCAGUCUCUGGGGAGGAGAUAAUGCUUUGGGACGCUCACAUGUAACAAAGAUCUAGCAGCAACAUGUCCAAAAGCUACAGGUCUGCAAGGACGCAGACUUGCAUUCAUUCCACAUUAACCUUUGGUCUCCAGCUCCCAGUGGCUCAUGAUAUGAAACUGGCCUAUCCUUCCUUAUCCCAGCCCCCCGUGGCACGUACCAGGCUGUCCCCAUUUGAGCAGGCCACGCGGUCAGCAACUUGCAGGAAAAUGCCUCAAACCCCGCUAGUUCCUCACUGAAAAUAUAGUGCCUGCUGAAUGCUACUGAUAGCCACAGUUCUCUUCCUGUCUUACACUGCACAGUCUGUAGACAAGGGCCUUUUAUGGCCAAGCAGGGAAAAGAAGCCCCAGGAGCCUCAGAAAUCUUUGCAGAGGUGAGCAAACAGCACUUCAACUCUGUGUACCUUUUGUGUUUUCAAACAAAAGCCUGAAAAGCCCAAUGGCAAUUAAGUUUUUGUUUAUAUAUACAUACAUGAAUAAUGAAAGCCUUGCCCUGCUGACUGGGCUUCCUGGCAGGAGCUGAGACACCACAAGCAUUCUCAUUUACUCCUAUGCCUUUUCCUUUGCAAAACUGUUUCUCCCCCACGCCAUGACACCUGUGGGUUGGUCCCAGUCUCCUAGGACACCUGCAUCCCAAGGCCACACGUAGCCACUCCAAGCUGUGGGUGCUCAGUCCCUUUGCUGACCCUGUUGCUGGAGUGUGACCUGGGGGAAAGCAGGGCCCAGCUUGGCCCACGGGCUGUUAGUGCAACACAGCUGCCUUCCAAAGUCUAACUCCACAUUGUUCACCUCUCACAACGCAAGCAUAGCCGCACUGUUGGCAGCUCACAUGGCUGCCAAGAGAUAUGUUUCUGCUGCAAGGGGUUGGAAGUGUGAGCACUGAGAGGUGUAAAAGAAUGCAAGGCUGCCAACCCUACUGAAAUAUCCUUGAAGGACAGGACAGUUUUAUAUCCUCCAGACCACACGGGACCAUUGCAGGAUGGAACGGCAGAGUAUAGCAUGGAGGUGCCUGUGUAGGUUCCUGGGACACUGUAGUGUUUGUUCCAUGUAUGCUCCUUUGAAAAGGAUUGUUGGGACGAUACCAGGUUUCCUGGGGUUGGUCCCUGAGGUGCUAAGGGAUGCUGUUGUGCAGAAGAUGCUACAGCUGGCUUUACCAACUUAAUGGCACCUCCAUCCAUGCAUAGAAACAGCACCUUGGGGACUCAAAUGUUUUUCCUGGCAAAAUCUUGGGCGCUUGCAGCUCCUCAGAACAGCAAGCAGGGCCUGACUUCUCAAUUAGCAUCCUCACUGGCGUAGAGAUGGCACGCUUACCUCAACCAGGAUCUGUCCCUCCAAGCUCUGCUUGGCCAAACAUCUGUCAAAUCCAAGCGGGCGAGGGGAGGGAACUCAUCUGGGCAGAAACUGGGAGGGACAUCUGCAGAGAGCUCCGGGACACACACAUGGGAAUCUGCAGUGGUAGGCAGAAACGUUCUCCUCCUAAAGAGCCCCGUACCACCCAACCAUAACUGGCCAAGUACAGCAGUUGCUGGGGAAAGGAUGCCUAGCUACUGCCUGCUUUCUGCUCCCUCCCCCCUCCUUUUUUGUUUUUCUUCUCUGGUGCUAUUGGAUCCUAAAGCAUUUCUAAAACUCCCUUUAGAAACUGACUGUACUCAAAUCCACAAACAGACCAGAGUUCAAUUCUGAGCAUUAUGAAUGGUCACGCUAAUUAAAUGCAGCUAAAAUACUGAAAAGGGAUGCAGAGAAGACAAAAUUAAUGAUAAAACACCCUCAGAGAGCAUAGGAGGAGAAAAAGCGCUGAUGUAAAAAGGCGAUUUAUGGUGAUUCUCCGGUUGCUGAAACAGAUGAAUUAUUGAGAACCUUACAGGAGAAAGGAACUUUAAGUUGGAAGAUUGAUGACUAAAAACCAUGGGGAAGUAAUCCUUUUUGCAUCAGUAUGGCAAAGCUCAGUCCUGGGAGGCAGGUCACCAGAGGUCAAGGCCUAAAGUGGAAACCCUGAGCUGGAGAACUCCUCUGAUCAACUCCUGCCCCCACACUGCCUUCUCUCCACUCCCUCAUUAACAAAAGGAAGCUGCAUUUCGGUGGUGUGAUUUCUCUCAGCUGCACAGUUUGGCUCCUAACCAAAAGCUUCAGCCUGAUGCAAAGAUAAAGAGGUUUCAGACAACGGUUAUUGCAGUUGGAUGGCAUUUCAAGAACUGAUCUCUAUCAGACGCCUAUGCCUUGCAACUUAAACGCAGUCACGCUGUGUUGCUGCGGAGUACAAGAAAAGCCUGAAAUCAGUGCUGACUGGGACUGAACAAUUCGAUUUCCAUUUCCAAGGUGAAGAUGCAAGUGAACAGUGUGGCUCAACAAACACUUCUGAAAAGCCUUGUCUUUUGGAUGAUCGUGGAACAUCCAGAUGAAAAGGGAUCUCAGGAAGCCAUCUCUACCAUCCCACUCUCUAGAGAUACGUUCAUUUUAUCUCUGUCAUUCCUGACUAAAUUUUCUCUGAUCACUUCUUAAAAAGAUUUACAAUCCCCGGGCAAUCUGACUUAAUGCAUCACUGUCCUCAUUUUUAGAAAGCUUCUCAUAAUGUCUAACUGAAGUAUUUACGCUGAAAUUGAAUGUCUUAUUAAUCUCUAAUAUCUUUGUGUUUGAAGACUCAUAUCUUCAUCACAUUUGCCUUCACUGCAGCGAGCACCUCCUUUCUCCAGCCUUCCCUUAAAGCCGUGUUUUUCCAGAGCUCCGAUCACACACAUUGCUCUCCCCUGAGCCUGAUCAGUGUUGUAUCCCUCCUGAGCACGGUGCCCCAAGCCAGACUCGUGGAGCUCCAGCUGAGUUUUGCCAAGACUGUGAAAAGUGGAAGAAUUACUCCACGUACUUUAUAGCCUCCUUUUUAUAGCCUCAUCUCAGUAUGAAGUUUGCUUUUUUUGAAACAGUAUGUAAGCUCCAGAAGGUUUCUGCAGGGCACCUCCCUACUCUUUGCUCCUCGGUCUGCUUUUGCAGUUGAUCAAACAGAAAACCUUGCAUUUUUUACUCUUUAAUAGCGUCUUACUUUUUUUUUCCCCUAACAAUUAGUGUGCAGUGUGUGUUGUGUUCUAACCCGGCAGGUGGCUGAGCUCCACACAGCUGUUUGCUCGUUCCCCUCCUUCCGAGUGGGAAUGGAGAAGAGAACUGGAGGGAAAAAACGUAGAACUCAUGGGUUGAGAUAAAACUAUUUACUAAGAUACAGAAAAGGAAAAGGACAAUAGUUAUGACUCUCUCUCUCUCUCUCUCUAUAUAUAUGAAUGUAUGUAACAAGAAACACAUAAGCAAUUGCACACCACCCGUCAACCAUUGCCCAACUUGCCCUCUGAGCAGCGGAAGAGGGAGGCCUUGGCUCUGUAUAACACUGUGUAGCAGCAACUAUAAACACUGGUGUGUUAUCAGCAUUGUUUUCAUCCUAGAACUAAAACCAGCAUCAUUCCAGACACUCUAAAGAAAACAAUUCCAUCCCAGCUGAAAUUUAGACAAUGUGGCAUUGCUCAUUUGAAUAUUAAACUCAUAUUUCUUCCAAUUUACUUCCAUUUCUUUCAAGCUUUCUCAUACUACUUCGUGUUGGGAUCUAUAAACCUUCAGCUUUGCUCUAAUUGUAGCUCCAGAGCCCAGGUACAACAUGUUCACAUUCAGGCUGCACGUGGCCCCUGUGCUGACCCUGUUCCAGGUGCAGUGGUGUGAUUACAGCUGUCCGACCUGUUGCACCACUGGAGGCUCAGCUCGUCCUGAUAAUAGUGCAGUUAUGUUUACUGUCCUUCCAGCUCUGGCAAUUACAUCUCAUUACACCACUUUAAUUAUUCAAACACUGACAUUAGGGUGAUGAGACUUAGAAAAUUCAAAGAGAAAAAAAGAAUUCAUUUUGACUUAAAUGUCUUUUAUUUAGCUCUUCUCUUGAGCUGUGUUUUCUUACAACACAUUCCUCAUUCUGUCACAACCACAGUCACGAUGUUUUUCCAACAUCCCUGGAAGACACUCCCAGGCUCUGCUUCUGCCAGGCAUUUUUUUAUAAAAAAGAAAAAAAAAAAACAACCAACACAACAUUUCUAAUACUCAAUA